AAAUUACAUAUUCAGUAAUCAUUAUUAUGAGAAAUGAAUGUUUCAACUUAAUUAUAACCCUUCCUCAGAUAUGUGUAUUUUAUACAUUUUAGUUUAUCCAACCAAGCUACAGAUGGAAGCACACAAGUCUGACAUCCAGGUGUCCAAUUUUAAGGAUAGUACAUGUACAAACAGUUCCUCUACUCCUCAAGUGUCCAAUCAGUUUACCAACAGCUGAAAAGUUCAAGCUGCCCAGGAACAAAUCCAACAUAUGCAAACAAGCUUAAUAUUUUGAGUGAUUCUCCAUAGUUCCCCAGAUAAUAAACUUUUACACUGGUUUGAAAGACUGAGACCUUAUAGAGCAUGUUUACCACACUUCAGCCGACAGCAGACGCUAUAAUCAGGUGGACUACCUUUAUACAGAAGCUAUAAUCAGGUGGACUAUCUAUAUACAGAAGCUAUAAUCAGGUGGACUAUCUAUAUACAGAAGCUAUAAUCAGGUGGACUAUCUAUAUACAGAAGCUAUAAUCAGGUGGACUAUCUAUAUACAGAAGCUAUAAUCAGGUGGACUAUCUAUAUACAGAAGCUAUAAUCAGGUGGACUAUCUAUAUACAGAAGCUAUAAUCAGGUGGACUAUCUAUAUACAGAAGCUAUACUCAGGUGGACUAUCUAUAUACAGAAGCUAUAACCAGGUGGACUAUCUAUAUACAGAAGCUAUAAUCAGGUGGACUAUCUAUAUACAGAAGAUAUAAUCAGGUGGACUAUCUAUAUACAGAAGCUAUAAUCAGGUGGACUAUCUAUAUACAGAAGCUAUAAUCAGGUGGACUAUCUAUAUACAGAAGCUAUAAUCAGGUGGACUAUCUAUAUACAGAAGCUAUAAUCAGGUGGACUAUCUAUAUACAGAAGCUAUAAUCAGGUGAACUACCUAUAUACAGAUUUUUGGUUUUUUUAUAUUUUGUUCAAUGUCCUAUUAACAGCCAGGGUCAUUUGGGGACAUGCCAAAUUUUAGAGGUGGAGAAAAAAGCUGGAUUACUCGGAGGAAAAACCAGGCAACUGUCCGACAUUGGAUUCAAACUCGCGACCCAGAAGUGGAGGGCCAGUGAUAAAGUUUCGGGACACCUCAACCACUCGGCCAUCACAGUCCAAUAUAUAUAUGUACAUCACAGAAGUCACCCAAGACUUAGAUUGAUGUCAUCCAGUGAUCCAGAUAUACAGACAAUAUCAGGCUGAACCCUAUUAUAAUAAAACAUUGCCAUUGAU